GCCCCCGUAGCUCAGUGGAUAGAGCAACCGGCCGCUAACUGGUGGGGCGCAGGUUCGAAUCCUGCCGGGGGCG
rnacentral:tRNA from 1 species